UGGGGAAUAUUGCACAGUGGGCGCAAGCCUGAUGCAGCCAUGCCGCGUGUAUGAAGAAGGCCUUCGGGUUGUAAAGUACUUUCAGCGGGGAGGAAGGGAGUAAAGUUAAUACCUUUGCUCAUUGACGUUACCCGCAGAAGAAGCACCGGCUAACUCCGUGCCAGCAGCCGCGGUAAUACGGAGGGUGCAAGCGUUAAUCGGAAUUACUGGGCGUAAAGCGCACGCAGGCGGUUUGUUAAGUCAGAUGUGAAAUCCUCGGGCUCAACCUGGGAACUGCAUCUGAUACUGGCAAGCUUGAGUCUCGUAGAGGGGGGUAGAAUUCCAGGUGUAGCGGUGAAAUGCGUAGAGAUCUGGAGGAAUACCGGUGGCGAAGGCGGCCCCCUGGACGAAGACUGACGCUCAGGUGCGAAAGCGUGGGGAGCAAACAGG
rnacentral:rRNA from 1 species